CUCCUUGUUGCCGUCUAGUGUUCAAACGUUAAACUAUGGUGAAGUCUGUCUCAAAAAGGAGCCACCAUUGUUGAACCAAGCUCUUUUAGUGGACUUACAGUAUCCCUAAGGAGUUUGGGAUGUCAUGGAUCUGGAAGGAAAGAAGCAUGAUUUAACCAAGGGAUCGCCACUAUAGACAGG
rnacentral:lncRNA from 1 species